GGUAAGAUGGCCGAGCGGUCUAAGGCUCCAGACUACUUCGGUUCAAAUCUGAGGGCGUGGGUUCGAAUCCCACUUUCAACA
rnacentral:tRNA from 1 species